GGAAGGAUCAUUACUGAGUGAGGGCCCUCUGGGUCCAACCUCCCACCCGUGUUUAUUGUACCUUGUUGCUCUCGGUGCGCCCGCCUCACGGCCGCCGGGGGGCUUCUGCCCCCGGGUCCGCGCGCACCGGAGACACUAUUGAACUCUGUCUGAAGAUUGCAGUCUGAGCAUAAACUAAAUAAGUUAAAACUUUCAACAACGGAUCUCUUGGUUCCGGCAUCGAUGAAGAACGCAGCGAAAUGCGAUAACUAAUGUGAAUUGCAGAAUUCAGUGAAUCAUCGAGUCUUUGAACGCACAUUGCGCCCCCUGGUAUUCCGGGGGGCAUGCCUGUCCGAGCGUCAUUGCUGCCCUCAAGCACGGCUUGUGUGUUGGGCUCCGUCCCCCCGGGGACGGGUCCGAAAAGGCAGCGGCGGCACCGAGUCCGGUCCUCGAGCGGUAUGGGGCUUUGUCACCCGCUCUGUAGGUCCCGGCCGGCCCCAGACCGACAACCAAUCAUCCUUUUUUCAGGUUGACCUCGGAUCAGGUAGGGAUACCC
rnacentral:rRNA from 1 species